rnacentral:rRNA from 1 species
GACGAACGCUGGCGGCGUGCUUAACACAUGCAAGUCGAGCGGUAAGGCCCUUUCGGGGGUACACGAGCGGCGAACGGGUGAGUAACACGUGGGUGACCUGCCCUCAGCUCUGGGAUAAGCCUGGGAAACCGGGUCUAAUACUGGAUAUGACUCCAUGACGCAUGUUGUGGGGUGGAAAGCCUUGUGCGGCUGAGGAUGGGCCCGCGGCCUAUCAGCUUGUUGGUGGGGUGANGGCCUACCAAGGCGACGACGGGUAGCCGGCCUGAGAGGGCGACCGGCCACACUGGGACUGAGACACGGCCCAGACUCCUACGGGAGGCAGCAGUGGGAAUCUUGCGCAAUGGGCGAAAGCCUGACGCAGCGACGCCGCGUGAGGGAUGACGGCCU